UGCCAGAAAGCCUGGGCAUGCAGGGGAAGUUGUGCCUGCUGAAGUCUGCCUGCUGGGUCUGUACAGUGAAGUAUUGGUGAGCCUAAGAGGCAGCAGAACAGUGGAAGCCUUCCUGAGUGCAGGGCCUGCCACUUGUUGAGGAGCCAUGACUGGGGAUGCAUUUGACCCCACAGCCAUCUGAGAUAAGACACUUCUCAACUACCAUGUCUUCAGAUUCAUCUGCAUUAAACUUGAUAGAGCCCCAUUUCUUUGUGAUGUGGCCAGGCAACUUGAACUUGGCCCUGCAUAGGGACUCAAUCACAUGCUCCUUGUUCUGCACCUUGGUAUGGACGGACAUGAUGACUUGACCAGUGUAAAUUCUGGCCAUGGUACCCUGGGGCUUUCUAGAGAUACCCUGCACACCUGUCUGGAGCCUACACUGGGAACAGUGCAAAGUCAAAGGUCAGAGACACAAACAUACAUUGGAAACGGCUGUCUCCUAUGUUCUUUAGAGCAACCCAUACAAGAAACAAGCUGUGUAUACAACAAAGGAGGCUGUUGUUUGCAGCCAUUACACCGAGCCCCUAUGAGGAAAGGAGUACAGCUGGCUUAAUUGACUGCAGAUGAAUAAUUUAAAAAGUCUGCUGAGUCCCAGAAUUCGGGGUGACAGUGGUAAUCAGAGUGACAGAACUCUAGAGAAAGGCAGUGUUCAUAGAAAAGAGUCAGAGGUUGCUGGUGGGGUCAGCUCCCACCAGCUGGAGGUUCUUUUCUUGAUUCAGAGCUCACAGGGUUUUAUGUGGUGUUUUAAUAAGAAAGAUGUUUCCAUGCUUGAACCAUCCCUUCUCUAGCUUGGAGGUCCUUCCUGUGCUAUAAAGAUCACAGAUAAUUUGCUGGCUUUGUACAAGGGCAGUACUGUUGAAGGGGACCUGCAAGCUUCUUUGUCCCUAGAAACUAAAAGUCCCCAUUUCUGCCCCAGCAGUUCCAAAUGUACAAACAGGUAUUUUCACAUGGUAUCACUCCUCACUAGCCACCAGUUGCAGGAUGGAGUUGCAGGAUAUAUUAUAAUAGUUGUUUUUGAGUUCAGGUAGAACUUGGAAUCAGCCAAAUUUGCCUUAGGCUCAAACUGGAUGCCCUGAGAGGUAACUCCCACAGUGUAAGAUUGAGAACAUCAUUUGAACUCCCAUGGGCCUGAUGCCUAGAAGGAGAGCAACCUGGUUUUUGCCCGUUCUUCUGCCUUUGCUGGUCUCCAUGCCUAAGCAUUACAUUCUAUCCAGCUCUUACAGAUGAGUUAGCUGGCCUGAGUGCCUACAAAGGACCAGGCAUUCUCUAAGGCAUAUUUUACAUGUUGCAAGGCACAUUUACCAUGCUCUAAGGCAUACUCUAAGGCAUAUUUACAUAUUUACAUUCAUCUAAUACCGGCCAUUCUGUUUUUCCAGCCUGGCCUUCUGUCACAAUCUUGGGUUUAUCCCUUCUCAGCUCAGCACUAGGGGAGUGUUUCUUCAAAGCUCUGACAUGUACUGUGGGUGCUGUUCCCAAUGAUUCCCAUCUUUCUGAUUCCUUUUAAUUCCUUAGUAAUGAUUUGUGCUAACUAUUUUUACUUUUUUUUCCUCCGAGUCUCAACCUUGAAGAGUUUACUGUGGCCACUUGAAAUUAAGUAUGGGCUGCUUUUAAUGGGACUAAUUGUUAUAAGUUCUCAUAGGAAGAAUCAAUUUCAAGAAUGAGAAAAAAAUCCAUCCCCAGGGUUCCUGCAUCCUACUCUCAGCCUCAUGAUUUAAUCACUUAAUUUUAGAAUAACGCACUCAGCUGUUUCCACGUCAGCCACUGACUUUCCCCAAGAAACAAAUAAUAAGGAAGAUGUGGCCUUAACUAAGAUGGCCUUGCCAUAGGUUAAAGGAUCAUGGAUAGCCGAUCUCUAGUGCCUCUAGAUCAUUGGAACAAAGCCAUUUUCUUCCUCAGACCAGGUUGCUUUGAUUUGCAAUUUAUUAUAAACAAAAUGAACUGGCUAUUUUGGGGCUUGGGUGUGAACUAUUACCUAAAUCCUGACUAGUCAUAGUUUGUGAAGUUCUGCAACAAAUGCCUGCCUCUGUCUCUUUCAUUCUUUUUCUUCCUCUUCCUCUUUUUUUUUUUUUUUAAAGAACAUCUUUUUCUGGAACAAUGAAGCAGAUAAGAAAUAUAGGGAACCAUGGAGAGUUAAAUAGCAUUUAUGGAAUUGUCAGGAUCAUCUACUGACAGUAAGAGCAAUAACACAGAAACAGACUUCAACUGGCAAGAGACAGCAGGUCACUGCCUGCAGGGGUUGACCAGCUUAGAAACUUGACUGUUUCAUGUGUUUGGGUAAUGUAAUCAAACACAAAUGCUCAACCAACUUAUGCUCUAAUAGCAUUAUAUUUGAUAUCUUCUACUUAAUUGUAAUUAAAGUUCAAUUUAAUUUCCUAGAGCAAUUAAAUAUAUUAAAAUAUUUUAUGGGCAUUUAUUAGCCCAAACUGAUUUUUAAAAAACACAGAGUGGCAUCAGGAGGGUUCUGUGUUUGAGAAGGCCACAAUGCUUUUCAGUGAGAUACUACAUUUGUCCAUAGGCUUAGGGAGAAUAAUUUACAUUUCAGUUUUACAAAAUUAACAUUAUGGUCAGCUUUCAACUAGGUAUGCAAAAGCCUUUAAUUUUAAGUGGAAGAAUAUCUGUGGGUGUGUGAAUAUUGAAUGAAUUCCCUAUAUUUAAUUUCUGCUAUAACUUAAUAGCCAAUAGACAAUAAGAAAUGUUGCUGUCAGGGAGGCUUUUAUGGAAAUGAACUGAAGAAAGAAGCAUAAUUCUAUACAACGGAUGGAAGAACACCAUACAUCUCAGAUUUCUGAAGACGUGAAGAGAUUUCAAAUAGACUUUCCCUUCGUCCUUAUAAGCAUAUUAGUUGUUGGGCCACAUACUUUGAUUUUUGAUUUAGGAUACAUAUUCACUAUACUCAAAUGUCCUAAAAGUAUAAUAAGAACAAAAGUCUUAGUCAAAA